rnacentral:rRNA from 1 species
AGAGUUUGAUCCUGGCUCAGGACGAACGCUGGCGGCGUGCCUAAUACAUGCAAGUCGAACGGUCUUUUCUAUGGAAGCUUGCUUCCACUGAGAAGAUAGUGGCGAACGGGUGAGUAACACGUGGGUAACCUGCCCAUAAGAGGGGGAUAACAUCCGGAAACGGGUGCUAAUACCGCAUAGUUUUCUUGAUCGCAUGAUCGGGAAAGGAAAGACGGCCUUUGUGCUGUCGCUUAUGGAUGGACCCGCGGCGUAUUAGUUAGUUGGUGAGGUAACGGCUCACCAAGACGAUGAUACGUAGCCGACCUGAGAGGGUGAUCGGCCACAUUGGGACUGAGACACGGCCCAAACUCCUACGGGAGGCAGCAGUAGGGAAUCUUCCGCAAUGGACGAAAGUCUGACGGAGCAACGCCGCGUGAGUGAAGAAGGUUUUCGGAUCGUAAAACUCUGUUGUCAGAGAAGAACAAGUUGGAGAGUAACUGCUCCAGCCUUGACGGUAUCUGACCAGAAAGCCACGGCUAACUACGUGCCAGCAGCCGCGGUAAUACGUAGGUGGCAAGCGUUGUCCGGAUUUAUUGGGCGUAAAGCGAGCGCAGGCGGUUCCUUAAGUCUGAUGUGAAAGCCCACGGCUCAACCGUGGAAGGUCAUUGGAAACUGGGGAACUUGAGUGCAGAAGAGGAGAGUGGAAUUCCAUGUGUAGCGGUGAAAUGCGUAGAUAUAUGGAGGAACACCAGUGGCGAAGGCGACUCUCUGGUCUGUAACUGACGCUGAGGCUCGAAAGCGUGGGGAGCAAACAGGAUUAGAUACCCUGGUAGUCCACGCCGUAAACGAUGAGUGCUAAGUGUUGGAGGGUUUCC